rnacentral:rRNA from 1 species
UAGGGAAUCUUCGGCAAUGGACGAAAGUCUGACCGAGCAACGCCGCGUGAGCGAAGAAGGUUUUCGGAUCGUAAAACUCUGUUGUUAUAGAAGAACAAGGACGUUAGUAACUGAACGUCCCCUGCCGGUAUCUAACCAGAAAGCCACGGCUAACUACGUGCCAGCAGCCGCGGUAAUACGUAGGUGGCAAGCGUUGUCCGGAUUUAUUGGGCGUAAAGCGAGCGCAGGCGGUUUCUUAAGUCUGAUGUGAAAGCCCCCGGCUCAACCGGGGAGGGUCAUUGGAAACGGGGAGACUUGAGUGCAGAAGAGGAGAGUGGAAUUCCAUGUGUAGCGGUGAAAUGCGUAGAUAUAUGGAGGAACACCAGUGGCGAAGGCGGCUCUCUGGUCUGUAAAUGACGCUGAGGCUCGAAAGCGUGGGGAGCAAACAGG